UACAGAGACCUCAAGCGUUAUCCGGAUUUAUUGGGCGUAAAGCGUCCGCAGGUGGUUUGGCGGGUCAGGGGUUAAAACUUAACGCUUAACGUUAAGAUCGCUCUUGAAACUACCAAACUUGAGGGUGGGAGAGGUAAGCGGAAUUCUCGGUGUAGUCGUAAUAAGCGCUGAUAUCGAGAAGAACACCAAAUGCGAAGGCAGCUUACUGGAACACACCUGACACUCAGGGACGAAAGCGUGGGGAGCAAACAGG
rnacentral:rRNA from 1 species